GACGAACGCUAGCGGCGGGCUUAAUACAUGCAAGUCAAGGGGUAGCAAUACACCGGCGUACGGGUGCGUAACGCGUAUGGAACCUGCCCUUAUCUGGGGGAUAACUCGGGGAAACUCGAGCUAAUACCGCAUAAGAUAGUAGAGAGGCAUCUCUUAGCUAUUAAAGAUUUAUCGGAUAAGGAUGGCCAUGCGUAAGAUUAGAUAGUUGGUGGGGUAACGGCUCACCAAGUCUACGAUCUUUAGGGGCUCUGAGAGGAGAAUCCCCCACACUGGCACUGAGAUACGGGCCAGACUCCUACGGGAGGCAGCAGUAGGGAAUAUUGGGCAAUGGGCGGAAGCCUGACCCAGCCACGCCGCGUGCAGGAAGACGGCCCUCUGGGUUGUAAACUGCUUUUAACUGGGAAGAAAGCAGCUCAUGCGUGAGAAUUUGACGGUACCAGUUGAAUAAGCCACAGCUAACUACGUGCCAGCAGCCGCCGCUGUAA
rnacentral:rRNA from 1 species